ACACCUUAUAGCGACCUUCCAGUACCUGAAGGGGCUCCAGGAAAGCUGAGAGGGGCUGUUCAUAAAGGUUUGUGGUGACAGGAGUGGCGGCAGUGGGUAUAAACUGCAGAGGGGCAGAUUUAGCCUAGACCUUAGGAAGAAUAUCUUCACAAUGAGAGUGGUGAGGCACUGGCACGGGUUGCCCAGAGAAGUUGUGAGUGUCCCAUCGCUGGAGGUGUUCAAGGCCAGGCUGGAUGAGGCUCUGGGCAAGCUGAUCCUUGGGCAACCUGACCCGGUAGGAGGUGUCCCUUCCCAUGGCAAUGAAUGGGCUUUAAGGUCCCUUCCAGCCCAAACCAUCCUAUAAUUCUAUAACGCCCCAGCUCUGAGACAGGCCAGGCACUCAAGUCACCUGUCGGAGCUCCCUCAGCCUCACCAGCCCUCAGGGAGCUCCCUGUGAGUUCACUUUUACAGAGCUGAAGCAGUCACGGUGGCAGAUCUCACCACUGCCUUUGUGUACAUGUUUGUUGUGGCUCCAUCGUGAGGCAUCAUACAGCCUUACCCUGACCCCAUCCAUCCUUUGGACAGGCGCUGCUUGCAGCAGAAAACACUGGCCUCACAUCUCACUUUUGGCUGGGGAGGCUCAAGGGUGUAACAACAGUCAUUUCUCCCAGCCUGCUACUAAAAAUAUACCCUAAGCACUGAGCUGAAGCUCCUCCACCGAUGGGAUAGGGGCAUGGUGGCUGCCAGGUAGAGCUGCCUUGGAGAGGCACUGCCUUUGGUGGGGAGCAGAGGGAGAUCUGACAGGACAUCCUAUGUCAAGAUGCCUUGCUGUAGCCUUGCCUUUGGCACAUUCAUCCCUCAGAGCUGAUGAAUCAUCACAUCUCUAUUUCAGUCUAUUGAACCACUUGGUAUGAUUCUUUUAUUUCCACUAACUCAUCCUGUCAACACCUUUGUUCAAUUGCCUGAUGCCUCCAUUAGUGAAGAUUCAGAAUCUGCCCUGAACCGUGGAAGCUAUUUCCUGCUCCAUAUACUUGUCACCAGUAAUGACUUUCUCAGAUAGAAGCAUAUUUCCAUGUAUUGAUGUUGGAAUUUCAAUAACAUCACAUUGGCUGCUUGAAAGCAUCACUGGUUUCCUUGAUAAAAAUAAUCACCUGUGAUGAGAUCACCUUUUCUUUCUGUGCCUAAAGCUAGUGAACUUACUCCCUUUCAAAGACUAUAGCCACCAGCCCCUGUUGUGCCUCAACACAUCUCUUGUGUAGCCUUUUAUGAACCUACUGAGAAGUGCCAUGAGCAUUUAUGUCCCUUGGUGCUUGCUUGUAAACUGCACUUUUUAUCUUCUUGCUCCAGAAAACUAAAUUUAAGACUAAGACCAAGGUUAAGCUUUUUCCUUGCUCUUUCAAAUGCUUCCACCUAGAUCUCUGGUCAUUCUCAGAUGUGUUCAAGUUUUGUCAUUAAUUCUAAAGGACAGGUGGCUGUUGUUUCAGUACUCGUGCAGUUUUAUGAUUUAAUGAACUUUGACUCCAACAGCUCCUCACUGCCUUUCACCUUCUACAUGGAGUCGGUCAGAUAAUGCAGGACAAAUAUAAGAAGUCUCAACUCUUUGACUGAACUUCUUUCUCUUAAGCUUAUCCCUUCGCUCUUUGCUUUUAUUACAAAUAUUUAUUCUAGUGGGAUAUCUGUGCUUAUGGCAGGGGGUUUGGAACUGGAUGAUCUUUAAGGUCCCUUCCAACCCAAACUAUUUUAUGAUUCAUCAUUUUGGUCAACAGCUUUUUCCAUAGAGAUAAUGUCAUCACCUGUAUCCUGAUCAUGCAUCUUUAAACCGGGCAUAAGUCCGGUUCAUGUUCCUACCACAUGAAAAGAUUUGCAUCUACUGUAAUUUUCUACAGCAGAAGAUAAAGAAAUGUGUCUUUGGCUGUAUUUAUUGUGCUUCAAAAAGAAAAAUGGAAAGCAACUUUUGCAAUGAACUAAGUCAACAAGACUGAUUCUCAAUAUCAUUAAUAACAGCUCAACUGUAUUAUCUCACUAAAAAAAAUGCAGCAGAAAACUGGCUCGACUACAGAAUGUUUGCACUUUGAAGAAAUUUACAAUAACAAAGGAAUACUGAUAAAAAAUAUUCAAGAAGAAUAUAGUGAAAGUAACAGAUACAGAACUUCCAUAGAAAAAUAACUUGACAAAAGACUUGCUUCUGAUGUUAUUGAUCUGAAACAAUUGUACUGAACUGUGCUUAUCAAUCGAUUCUUUUUGAACACUGGUUAAACACACUAGAGUGUACUCUUUGUUCAUCCAUAGCAUAAAGUUGCUCACUCCUGCAUCAGAAUCUAACUAGACAAUUUUUUUUUACUGUUAUUUGCAAAGUAAGAUUAUAGACAUUUUUUACAGUGCCUUUUGAGGUUGGAAUAGAACAAAGGCAAAAACCUUGAAACCUACAGGGAAAUUCAGUUGACAGUUGUUCUUAGUGAAUUAACCAUCUACCUUGUCAUCAGUUCUAUUCUGUCAUUAAUGAUGCAAAUAUCACCAGGCAUGGAGUUUCCAUCAUGUUGACUUGUGUAAUAAUCCAGUAUUUCAUCUUCAGAAGACAUGAGGUUACAAACCAUUCCAACAGCUUAUCCUGUUCGUAAAAUAAGUAAAACAUGAGAAAACAAAACAUGAAAAAACAGUGGCCAAUUGUUUCCAUAGUUUGUUAGGUGUGAUGGCAGUCAUGAAAUACAAAUGCACAUCACAUUUUGUCUCUGUGGAUCAGUGUUUUUCUGAAUGGAAAACGAUGCUGAAAACUUGUGAAAACUUUCUCAUUUACUAAAAUAACAAAGUAUGUGAAAAAUAAAGCAGUGAAAAAAAACUUUAUCUUUUAAAAAUUACCCUCUCCAUUGUGUUUAUCCAUUAAUAUUUCAAAGGGGUUCAUUCUCAAAUAGAAAAUUUGUGGGCUUCUUAAUUAGGAACAAGAUAAGAGUCUUAAUUAAAUUGCCCUAAAUAAAGCUAAGUUUAUAGCCAUAGCUUUCCUCUUGGUUUCAAGCAGUGGAUGUAACACAUCGUGUCUUAGAAUCAAGCUGUUACAGAUCAGGUGGAAGGUACUCAUGCUGAACUAAGCACGGAGUGGAGUAUCCUUCAACAUACUAUAAACUCUAUGCUCUUUGAAACUAGAAGUACCUCUUUCUUGGGGCAUAUUUACUGGAAGCUGUUCCCAAAAUGCUAGAAUGACUUAAUGGAUUGAAAUCAUCAUGCUUGGGAGCCAGAUUUUGCUCUGAUUUAUAAAAGCACAGUCUUGUUGGAAUUCCUUUCUGUGCAGAAGGUCAGGAAAAGGCCUUUUCAUCAUUACAGUGCUGGCACUCGGUGCUAGGUGGAGUCUUACUUAAAAAAAUUAAACGGGCUAUUAUUAAGCAGAAAGUCUGGAUGAAACUAAAUAACACAUUCAGCAAGAAAGCAAACUGGUGAGUAGGCACUCCCCUAAAUACGUUCUUGAAAGCAGAAUUGUGUGGCCUGAGUGGAUCAGGAGAUUGUGCAAACUGAAGAGAACUGCCCACACGGGAAUGCAUCCAGUUAGGAAACCUAUGAAGGUUUUUCUAUAUUGUUCUGGAAUUCUAUCAUGAGUAAAAGAAUCCAAACACUUUUUAACCUGUCUUUAUCUUCAUGUUAAGGACUGCAUUCUGUUGAGAUUUUUCUAACUGAAAGAGAUCAUCAAGAAAAAGUCCUAGUGAGAACAGGAAUUGUCAAUACAGGAAUAUGCGCCUGUUGUUUCUAUGUAUCUGUCCUGUUCCACGACCUGCAAUCAUUGUUCUAGCUGCUAAAUAGGUAUUACGUGAAAAUGUAAAAGCUACAUUUACUGCAAUUAAUGACCUUUUAUAUUUUAAGACAGGCAUUCGAAUUUACAUGUUCAUUGGAGGUGAUUGAUUUUUAGAUGGUGAAAAGACACCAGUCAAUCAGUUUCAACUAAUCAGUGCCUUAAUGGAUGCAUUUGCGAAAGUAUUAUCUCAGUGAAAAUCAUCUUCCAGCACUUUAACUUUCUGACAGUUAUCAAGGAUUUCCUUAAACAAAGUUUCUCUCAUUAUAGCAUUAUAGAAAUGCUGAAAAAAAAAUAAACUUGCACUGGGACAAAAAGAAAGCUGUUUACAAUACUUUAAUAAAGAAUAACCAUUAUGUGUGCAUAUAUUAAAGAUUUAAAGCAUGUCUCACAAUUUCAUAGACCGUUCAGUGUGGUAAUUUUGGCAGGCUUUUGCCUUUCCACCCUGACCCAGUGCAAAGGCGUAAGUACAGGGUCAGUGAAACGGCCAGACUCCUUACAGGUCGGUGGCCCAAAAACUCAAAUAGCACCACCUAAAUCAAAACAGACUAGGAAUUAAUUGAAUAUAUGCCUGUCUUGGGUUCUAGAGAUUAUAAACCUAACUUAAAUCUGCAUUUGUGACAUCCUCUUUUCAUUUUUUAAGCAGAUUAUUAGCUUUCUGGCCUGGAGGAUAUGGCUUUCUGUCAGCGGAUUAAUCAGUGGGAAAAGGAAGAAAAAUCUUCCUUUUGGAACUCUCAAAUCAUUCAACUCAAGCUUUUAAUUAAAAAAUCCAUUGUUUUAGCAUGCCAAAUAGAUAUUAAUAACUAAGGUCUAUUAGCUUCCUCAAGAAAAUUUUAUAUAUAUAUAUAUAUA